UGGGGAAUCUUGCGCAAUGGGCGAAAGCCUGACGCAGCAACGCCGCGUGAGCGAAGACGGCCUUCGGGUUGUAAAGCUCUGUCAGGAGGGACGAAGCCACUCAGGUGAAUAGCCGAGAGGGUGACGGUACCUCCAGAGGAAGCCCCGGCUAACUACGUGCCAGCAGCCGCGGUAAUACGUAGGGGGCUAGCGUUGUCCGGAAUCAGUGGGCGUAAAGCGCGUGUAGGCGGCCAUCCAAGUCUGAUGUGAAAGCUCGGGGCUCAACCCCGAGUCUGCAUUGGAAACUGGGUGGCUUGAGUCCGGAAGAGGAGACUGGAAUUCCUGGUGUAGCGGUGAAAUGCGCAGAUAUCAGGAAGAACACCGGUGGCGAAGGCGGGUCUCUGGGACGGUACUGACGCUGAGACGCGAAAGCGUGGGGAGCAAACA
rnacentral:rRNA from 1 species